AUUGAACGCUGGCGGCAGGCCUAACACAUGCAAGUCGAGCGGAUGAAGGGAGCUUGCUCCUGGAUUCAGCGGCGGACGGGUGAGUAAUGCCUAGGAAUCUGCCUGGUAGUGGGGGAUAACGUCCGGACACGGGCGCUAAUACCGCAUACGUCCUGAGGGAGAAAGUGGGGGAUCUUCGGACCUCACGCUAUCAGAUGAGCCUAGGUCGGAUUAGCUAGUUGGUGGGGUAAAGGCCUACCAAGGCGACGAUCCGUAACUGGUCUGAGAGGAUGAUCAGUCACACUGGAACUGAGACACGGUCCAGACUCCUACGGGAGGCAGCAGUGGGGAAUAUUGGACAAUGGGCGAAAGCCUGAUCCAGCCAUGCCGCGUGUGUGAAGAAGGUCUUCGGAUUGUAAAGCACUUUAAGUUGGGAGGAAGAGCAGUAAGUUAAUACCUUGCUGUUUUGACGUUACCAACAGAAUAAGCACCGGCUAACUUCGUG
rnacentral:rRNA from 1 species